rnacentral:rRNA from 9 species
CAACUUUUAACAACGGAUCUCUUGGCUCUCGCAUCGAUGAAGAACGCAGCGAAAUGCGAUAAGUAAUGUGAAUUGCAGAAUUCAGUGAAUCAUCGAAUCUUUGAACGCACCUUGCGCUCUCUGGUAUUCCGGGGAGCACACCUGUUCGAGUGUCAUU